AUUCCAGCUCCAAUAGCGUAUAUUAAAGUUGUUGCAGUUAAAAAGCUCGUAGUUGGAUUUCUGGCGUCGCCGCCCGGUCGGCCUCGAAAGGGGUUCGCACUCGUUGGCGCGCGUCGCCAUCCUCGGGGGAAGGCCGCCUGGCAUUAAGUUGUCGGGCGGUCGACGCUCGUCGUUUACUGUGAACAAAUUAGAGUGUUCAAAGCAGGCUUAGGCCGUUGAAUACAUUAGCAUGGAAUAAUGAGAUAGGACUUUGGUGGUCUAUUUUGUUGGUUUGCACGCCGAAGUAAUGAUUAAUAGGGGCGGUUGGGGGUAUUCGUAUUCAAUUGUCAGAGGUGAAAUUCUUGGAUUUAUGGAAGACGAACUACUGCGAAAGCAUUUACCAAGGAUGUUUUCAUUG
rnacentral:rRNA from 1 species